rnacentral:rRNA from 1 species
UACGAAGGGGGCUAGCGUUGCUCGGAAUCACUGGGCGUAAAGCGCACGUAGGCGGAUUGUUAAGUCAGGGGUGAAAUCCUGGAGCUCAACUCCAGAACUGCCUUUGAUACUGGCGAUCUUGAGUCCGGGAGAGGUGAGUGGAACUGCGAGUGUAGAGGUGAAAUUCGUAGAUAUUCGCAAGAACACCAGUGGCGAAGGCGGCUCACUGGCCCGGUACUGACGCUGAGGCACGAAAGCGUGGGAGCGAACAGG